rnacentral:rRNA from 1 species
UACGUAGGGUGCGAGCGUUAAUCGGAAUUACUGGGUGUAAAGCGCGUGCAGGCGGUUGGCUAAGUUGGGUGUGAAAGCUCCUGGCUCAACUGGGAGAGGUCGCUCAAGACUGGCCGACUGGAGAGCAGUAAGGGAAGGUGGAAUUCCGGGUGUAGUGGUGAAAUGCGUAGAUAUCCGGAGGAACACCAGUGGCGAAGGCGGCCUUCUGGACUGCUUCGACGCUCAGACGCGAAAAGCUAGGGGAGCAAACGGGG